rnacentral:rRNA from 1 species
CCUACGGGAGGCAGCAGUAGGGAAUAUUGCUCAAUGGGGGAAACCCUGAAGCAGCAACGCCGCGUGGAGGAUGAAGGUUUUAGGAUUGUAAACUCCUUUUGUUAGAGAAGAUUAUGACGGUAUCUAACGAAUAAGCACCGGCUAAAUCCGUGCCAGCAGCCGCGGUAAGACGGCGGGUGCAAGCGUUACUCGGAAUCACUGUGCGUAAAGAGUGCGUAGGCGGGGUAAUAAGUCAGAUGUGAAAUGCUGUGGAUUAACUACAGAACUGCAUUUGAAACUGUUACUCUGGAGUGUGGGAGAGGUAGGUGGAAUUCUUGGUGUAGGGGUAAAAUGCGUAGAGAUCAAGAGGAAUGCUCAUUGCGAAGGCGGCCUGCUGGAACAUUACUGACGCUGAUGCACGAAAGCGUGGGGAGCAAACAGGAUUAGAUACCCUAGUAGUC